CUGUACUACCCUCAAUCACAGGGCACUGCAGAGUGGUGGGGACAUCCACUAUACGUACAGCAGUUGAAUUCGAAUUUGGCCAUUUUCAAUGGACGAAUGGCAGUCCAGUUUGAAAGCAAAAUUCUGCAGGUGCUGCAAAUCUGAGAUUAAAGUGUGGGAACUACUUAGCUGGUCAGGCAGUAUCUGCAAUAUGCAGAGAGAAACACUGAAUAUUACAGCUCACCGACAUCUUCAGACCUCCAGAUUAUAAAAAUCUACGGGUCUGGAAAUUGUGCCAGUGGACACUGUGAACUCAAAGCCACUCAAUGCCAGGAAUUCCACCUUCCAGGCUAUGUAUGCAUCUCCAGAAAUUAAAGGCAAAUUCCCAUAAUGAGAAAACAAUUGAGCCUGUGAUUUGCAGUUUGGAGAUCAUUUGGGUGUUUCAACUCUCUACGGUCUUGGGAAGGAUUCCGGGAAGCAGAGGCAGUGUGUGGGACCUCGUUGUGAGAAAGCUGCGAGCCAUUGUUUGUUUUGACAAUUAAGACUUACAUUGUUCACUGAUUAAAGCAAAGAGGGAGAUUGAAACAUUGAGGUGAACGUGGAAGGUGUGUGCCAGCUACCUGCCUUUUUAUCGCUGGAGGAUUGUUCUGCUGCCAGGGAAGAGAGACUGCCUUUUCAUCAGUUGUGAGAGGGUGAACUGCCGUUUUAUCGCUGGUGAGAUCGCUCUGUUACGGAGAGGGCGGACUGCCGUUUUAUCACUGGUGAGAUCUCUCAGCUACGGAGAGGGGAGACUGCCGUUUUAUCAUUACUGAGAUCUCUCAGCUACGGAGAGAGGAGACUGCCGUUUUAUCGCUGGUGAGAUCGCUCUGUUAUGGAGAGGGCGGACUGCCAUUUUAUCACUGGUGAGAUCUCUCAGCUACGGAGAGGGGAGACUGCCGUUUUAUCGCUGGUGAGAUCGCUCUGUUACGGAGAGGGCGGACUGCCGUUUUAUCACUGGUGAGAUCUCUCAGCUACGGAGAGGGGAGACUGCCGUUUUAUCAUUACUGAGAUCUCUCAGCUACGGAGAGAGGAGACUGCCGUUUUAUCACUGGUGAGAUCUCUCAGCUACGGAGAGGGGAGACUGCCGUUUUAUCACUGGUGAGAUCGCUCAGCUACGGAGAGAGGAGACUGCCGUUUUAUCAUUACUGAGAUCUCUCAGCUACGGAGAGAGGAGACUGCCAUUUUAUCGCUGGUGAGAUCGCUCUGUUAUGGAGAGGGCGAACUGCCGUUUUAUCACUGGUGAGAUCUCUCAGCUACGGAGAGGGGAGACUGCCGUUUUAUCAUUACUGAGAUCUCUCAGCUACGGAGAGAGGAGACUGCCGUUUUAUCAUUACUGAGAUCUCUCAGCUACGGAGAGAGGAGACUGCCGUUUUAUCGUUGGUGAGAUUGCUCUGCUACAGAGAGAGGAGACUGCCGUUUUAUCAUUACUGACAUCUCUCAGCUACGGAGAGAGGAGACUGCCGUUUUAUCGCUGGUGAGAUCGCUCUGUUACGGAGAGGGCGGACUGCCGUUUUAUCGCUGGUGAGAUUGCUCUGCUACGGAGAGAGGAGACUGCCGUUUUAUCAUUACUGACAUCUCUCAGCUACGGAGAGAGGAGACUGCCGUUUUAUCACUGGUGAGAUCUCUCAGCUACGGAGAGGGGAGACUGCCGUUUUAUCACUGGUGAGAUCUCUCAGCUACGGAGAGGGGAGACUGCCGUUUUAU